AAGGCCUGAUGUGUGUGAGAUUACCCGCUGAAUUUAAGCAUAUAAGUAAGCGGAGGAAAAGAAACUAACUAGGAUUCCCUUAGUAAUGGCGAUGAACAGGAUCAGCUCAGUGCCAAUCGGAUCACUUGUGGUUCUGAAAUGUGGCUUGAAGCAGUACAGUGGCAUCGCGGACGAAGUCUCUGGAAA
rnacentral:ncRNA from 1 species